AGUAACGCUACGGCAGGCUUACACAUGCAAGUCGAGGGGUACAGGGAUUGCUUGCAAUCCGCUGACGACCGGCGCAGUGCGUAACGCGUAUGCAACCUACCUUUUACUGGGUGGAUAGUCAAGAGAAAUUUUGAAUAAUACCCCAUACGAUCUGAUUCACUCCUGUGAAACAGAAGAGAAUUCCGAUGGUAAAAGAUGGGCAUGCGUCCUAUUAGUUUGUUGGUGAGGUAACGGCUCACCAAGACUACGAUAGGUAGGGGUCCUGAGAGGGAGAUCCCCCACACUGGUACUGAGACACGGACCAGACUCCUACGGGAGGCAGCAGUGAGGAAUAUUGGACAAUGGAGGCAAACUCUUGAUCCAAGACCAUGCCGCGUGCAGGAAAGACAGGGCCUAUGUGUUUGUCAAAACUGCUUUUAUCACACGGGAAAGGAAAACCCAUUUAGCUAC
rnacentral:rRNA from 1 species